CGUGUUCACAGCGGACCUUGAUUUAAUGUCAUACAAUUAAGGGCACUCGGUGAAUGCCAA
rnacentral:pre_miRNA from 1 species